UGGGCUAUAGCCAAGCGGUAAGGCAACGGACUUUGACUCCGUCAUCUCGCUGGUCCGAAUCCAGCUAGCCCAGCCA
rnacentral:tRNA from 2 species